ensembl:misc_RNA Metazoa_SRP Metazoan signal recognition particle RNA
CUCAGGUAUGGUAGUGCAUGCCUGUAGUUCCAGCUACUUGGGAGACUGAGGUAGGAGGAUCGCUUGAGCCCAGCAGUUCUGGGCUACAGUGCACUAUGCUGAUUGGGUAUCUGCACUAAGUUCAGCACCAAUGUGGUGACCUCCUGUGAGUGGGGGACUGCCAGGUUGCCUAAGGAAGGGUGAACUGGCCCAGGUUAGAAGCAGCAGGUUAAAACUCCAGUGCUGAUCAGUAGUGGGAUCAUGCCUGUGAAUAGUCACUGCACUCUGGUGCGGACAAUAUAGUGAGACUCUGCCUCU